rnacentral:misc_RNA from 1 species
CUAUGUAACUUUGUACGCUCUUUCCGAAUAUGUGAUCAGUUUUGCUGUACRACCUUUGGUUCCUGAGAUAGCUGCUUCUGGUCUAAUCCGCAAUGUGCCUCUCGGGCUUCCUAUAGGAAAUUGUGUCCGGAAUAAUUUUCGCAUUUCAGGAGCUAUUGCUGUGAAUUUUGGUUUGCCAAUGUAAUUUUGCACGCUCUUUCAGAUUCUGUGAUCGAUUUAAUCGUUUUCCAAAAUUUGCAUUUUGCGGUUAUAACCUGAGACUGAAUUGCAUGUUAUAUAGGGGGUAUACCCAAAAAACGACCCAAAAAGUCGAUUUUGUGAAAUGGUGCGUUAGGGCCUCAGGACACAUUGUCAGGCCUGUAGCACUUGUAUUUCACUCUAUUUAAUGCAUUUUGGCUUGGUUGAGCUCGUAUUUCGGAGCAUAGGUCAGUUUGGGGGUCGGCGGUCAAGACGGCUAAAAAGCCUGUACUGAUGCGGCUGGCUCAUCCCUAUGGCUCGAUUAUAUGGCUCGGCUACACGGGUCCUGCUUUUCCUGACCAAAUGGCCGCGCGUUCGGUUCGGUUGGGCUAUCGGGGCCGCGAUUUAAUGGGUGUCGGGUGACCUUCGUCAUUCUGCACUCGGGCUAUAUACCCGUGGUGAUUCGAGGGCUGGUUUCGGCUGGUCAUCGGGUUGUCGCGUGGCUAUAUAGCUUUUUCUAUGCUAAGCCGUCUGGCUAGUCCUGAUUGCUGGGCGUGUCACUUGUGGCUCGUCUAUGCAGUGCAUAUACGAUAACCGUUGUGUUUAUCGGGCGCGAGCUGUACCCUACGGCGCCAAUGUUGCUGCUCCACACGGGAAAUUGAUAGACCGUGUGGUUGCACAAAACCAAAUCAAGAGGUGUCAAUACUAUACUGGUCCACACGGGAUGGGUACUACUGUGUGGAUAAAGGUUGCCAAAUGUAUCGCUUCCACAAAUGCUGGUUGCGCGUGCUCUCAAUCUCUCGGGGUUGAGUUGCUUGAAAGAGUGAAUA